rnacentral:rRNA from 1 species
AACGAACGCUGGCGGCAUGCCUAACACAUGCAAGUCGAACGAGAACUUCGGGUAUCGUGGCGCACGGGUGCGUAACGCGUGGGAACCUGCCCUUAGGUUCGGAAUAACUCCCCGAAAGGGGUGCUAAUACCGGAUAAUGUCCUCGGACCAAAGAUCUAUCGCCUUUGGAUGGGCCCGCGUUGGAUUAGCUAGUUGGUAGGGUAAAAGCCUACCAAGGCGACGAUCCAUAGCUGGUCUGAGAGGAUGAUCAGCCACACUGGGACUGGGACACGGCCCAGACUCCUGCGGGAGGCAGCAGUGGGUGAUAUUGGACAAUGGGCGGAAGCCUGAUCCAGCUAUGCCGGGUGAGUGAUGAAGGCCUUAGGGUUGUAAAGCUCGUUUACCCGGGAUGAUAAUGACAGUACCGGGAGAAUAAGCUCCGGCUAACUCCGUG